rnacentral:rRNA from 1 species
CCUACGGGGGGCAGCAGUGGGGAAUAUUGCACAAUGGGGGAAACUCUGAUGCAGCGACGCCGCGUGAGCGAAGAAGUAUCUCGGUAUGGAAAGCUUUAUCAGCAGGGAAGAAAAUGACGGUACCUGAGUAAGAUGCUCCGGCUAAAUACGUGCCAGCAGCCGAGGUAAUACGGAGGGAGCCAGCGUUAUCCGGAUUUACUGGGCGUAAGGGGAGCGUAGGCGGCCUGCCAAGUCUGAUGUGAAAUACCGGGGCUCAACCCCGGGGCUGCAUUGGAAACUGGCAGGCUUGAGUGCCGGAGAGGCAGGCGGAAUUCCUAGUGUAGCGGUGAAAUGCGUAGAUAUUAGGAGGAACACCAGUGGCGAAGGCGGCCUGCUGGACGGUGACUGACGCUGAGGCUCGAAAGCGUGGGGAGCAAACAGGAUUAGAUACCCGGGUAGUC